rnacentral:rRNA from 1 species
AUUGAACGCUGGCGGCAGGCCUAACACAUGCAAGUCGAACGGCAGCACAGAAGAGCUUGCUCUUUGGGUGGCGAGUGGCGGACGGGUGAGUAAUGUCUGGGAAACUGCCCGAUGGAGGGGGAUAACUACUGGAAACGGUAGCUAAUACCGCAUAACGUCGCAAGACCAAAGUGGGGGACCUUCGGGCCUCACACCAUCGGAUGUGCCCAGAUGGGAUUAGCUAGUAGGUGGGGUAAUGGCUCACCUAGGCGACGAUCCCUAGCUGGUCUGAGAGGAUGACCAGCCACACUGGAACUGAGACACGGUCCAGACUCCUACGGGAGGCAGCAGUGGGGAAUAUUGCACAAUGGGCGCAAGCCUGAUGCAGCCAUGCCGCGUGUAUGAAGAAGGCCUUCGGGUUGUAAAGUACUUUCGGCGGGGAGGAAGGCGGUGAGGUUAAUAACCUCGCCGAUUGACGUUACCCGCAGAAGAAGCACCGGCUAACUCCGUGCCAGCCGCCGCGGUAACAC